rnacentral:rRNA from 1 species
GGGUUGUGAGGUUAAGCGACUAAGCGUACACGGUGGAUGCCCUGGCAGUCAGAGGCGAUGAAGGACGUGCUAAUCUGCGAUAAGCGCCGGUAAGGUGAUAUGAACCGUUAUAACCGGCGAUUUCCGAAUGGGGAAACCCAGUGUGAUUCGUCACACUAUCAUUAACUGAAUCCAUAGGUUAAUGAGGCGAACCGGGGGAACUGAAACAUCUAAGUACCCCGAGGAAAAGAAAUCAACCGAGAUUCCCCCAGUAGCGGCGAGCGAACGGGGAGGAGCCCAGAGCCUGAAUCAGCAUGUGUGUUAGUGGAAGCGUCUGGAAAGACGCGCGAUACAGGGUGACAGCCCCGUACACAAAAGCGCAUGUGCUGUGAGCUCGAUGAGUAGGGCGGGACACGUGGUAUCCUGUCUGAAUAUGGGGGGACCAUCCUCCAAGGCUAAAUACUCCUGACUGACCGAUAGUGAACCAGUACCGUGAGGGAAAGGCGAAAAGAACCCCGGCGAGGGGAGUGAAAAAGAACCUGAAACCGUGUACGUACAAGCAGUGGGAGCACCCUUCGGGGUGUGACUGCGUACCUUUUGUAUAAUGGGUCAGCGACUUAUAUUCUGUAGCAAGGUUAACCGAAUAGGGGAGCCGGAGGGAAACCGAGUCUUAACCGGGCGUUAAGUUGCAGGGUAUAGACCCGAAACCCGGUGAUCUAGCCAUGGGCAGGUUGAAGGUUGGGUAACACUAACUGGAGGACCGAACCGACUAAUGUUGAAAAAUUAGCGGAUGACCUGUGGCUGGGGGUGAAAGGCCAAUCAAACCGGGAGAUAGCUGGUUCUCCCCGAAAGCUAUUUAGGUAGCGCCUCGUGAAUUCAUCUCCGGGGGUAGAGCACUGUUUCGGCUAGGGGGCCAUCCCGGCUUACCAACCCGAUGCAAACUGCGAAUACCGGAGAAUGUUAUCACGGGAGACACACGGCGGGUGCUAACGUCCGUCGUGAAGAGGGAAACAACCCAGACCGCCAGCUAAGGUCCCAAAGUCAUGGUUAAGUGGGAAACGAUGUGGGAAGGCCCAGACAGCCAGGAUGUUGGCUUAGAAGCAGCCAUCAUUUAAAGAAAGCGUAAUAGCUCACUGGUCGAGUCGGCCUGCGCGGAAGAUGUAACGGGGCUAAACCAUGCACCGAAGCUGCGGCAGCGACACUGUGUGUUGUUGGGUAGGGGAGCGUUCUGUAAGCCUGCGAAGGUGGCCUGUGAGGGUUGCUGGAGGUAUCAGAAGUGCGAAUGCUGACAUAAGUAACGAUAAAGCGGGUGAAAAGCCCGCUCGCCGGAAGACCAAGGGUUCCUGUCCAACGUUAAUCGGGGCAGGGUGAGUCGACCCCUAAGGCGAGGCCGAAAGGCGUAGUCGAUGGGAAACGGGUUAAUAUUCCCGUACUUGGUGUUACUGCGAAGGGGGGACGGAGAAGGCUAUGUUGGCCGGGCGACGGUUGUCCCGGUUUAAGCGUGUAGGUGUGUGUUCCAGGUAAAUCCGGUUCACUUUAACACUGAGGCGUGAUGACGAGGCACUACGGUGCUGAAGCAACAAAUGCCCUGCUUCCAGGAAAAGCCUCUAAGCAUCAGGUAACAUCAAAUCGUACCCCAAACCGACACAGGUGGUCAGGUAGAGAAUACCAAGGCGCUUGAGAGAACUCGGGUGAAGGAACUAGGCAAAAUGGUGCCGUAACUUCGGGAGAAGGCACGCUGACACGUAGGUGAAGUGAUUUACUCACGGAGCUGAAGUCAGUCGAAGAUACCAGCUGGCUGCAACUGUUUAUUAAAAACACAGCACUGUGCAAACACGAAAGUGGACGUAUACGGUGUGACGCCUGCCCGGUGCCGGAAGGUUAAUUGAUGGGGUCAGCGCAAGCGAAGCUCCUGAUCGAAGCCCCGGUAAACGGCGGCCGUAACUAUAACGGUCCUAAGGUAGCGAAAUUCCUUGUCGGGUAAGUUCCGACCUGCACGAAUGGCGUAAUGAUGGCCAGGCUGUCUCCACCCGAGACUCAGUGAAAUUGAACUCGCUGUGAAGAUGCAGUGUACCCGCGGCAAGACGGAAAGACCCCGUGAACCUUUACUAUAGCUUGACACUGAACAUUGAGCCUUGAUGUGUAGGAUAGGUGGGAGGCUUUGAAGUGUGGACGCCAGUCUGCAUGGAGCCGACCUUGAAAUACCACCCUUUAAUGUUUGAUGUUCUAACGUGGACCCGUGAUCCGGGUUGCGGACAGUGUCUGGUGGGUAGUUUGACUGGGGCGGUCUCCUCCUAAAGAGUAACGGAGGAGCACGAAGGUUGGCUAAUCCUGGUCGGACAUCAGGAGGUUAGUGCAAUGGCAUAAGCCAGCUUGACUGCGAGCGUGACGGCGCGAGCAGGUGCGAAAGCAGGUCAUAGUGAUCCGGUGGUUCUGAAUGGAAGGGCCAUCGCUCAACGGAUAAAAGGUACUCCGGGGAUAACAGGCUGAUACCGCCCAAGAGUUCAUAUCGACGGCGGUGUUUGGCACCUCGAUGUCGGCUCAUCACAUCCUGGGGCUGAAGUAGGUCCCAAGGGUAUGGCUGUUCGCCAUUUAAAGUGGUACGCGAGCUGGGUUUAGAACGUCGUGAGACAGUUCGGUCCCUAUCUGCCGUGGGCGCUGGAGAACUGAGGGGGGCUGCUCCUAGUACGAGAGGACCGGAGUGGACGCAUCACUGGUGUUCGGGUUGUCAUGCCAAUGGCACUGCCCGGUAGCUAAAUGCGGAAGAGAUAAGUGCUGAAAGCAUCUAAGCACGAAACUUGCCCCGAGAUGAGUUCUCCCUGAGACUUAGAGUCUCCUGAAGGAACGUUGAAGACGACGACGUUGAUAGGCCGGGUGUGUAAGCGCAGCGAUGCGUUGAGCUAACCGGUACUAAUGAACCGUGAGGCUUAACCUUACAACGCCGAAG